AUUGAACGCUGGCGACAGGCCUAACACAUGCAAGUCGAACGAGUGGCGGACGGGUGAGUGAUGUCUGGGAAACUGCACGCUGGAGGGGGAUAACUACUGGCAACGGUAGCUAAUACCGCAUACCAUCGGAUGUGCUCAGAUGGUAUUGGCUAGUAGGUGGGGUAAUGGCUCACCUAGGCGACGAUCCCUAGCUGGGCAGAGAGGAUGACCAGCCACACUGGAAAGUGUACAGUGUCCAGACUCCUACGGGAUGCAGCAGGGGGGAAUCUUGCACAAUGGGCGCAAGCCUGAUGCAGACAUGCCUCGGGUAUGAAGAGGGCCUGCGGGUGUUAAAGUACUUUCAUCGGUGAGGCGGUACCCGCAGAAGAAGCACCGGCUAACUCCGUGCCAGCAGCCGCGGGAAUAC
rnacentral:rRNA from 1 species